rnacentral:rRNA from 1 species
AGUGAACGCUGGCGGCGUGCCUAAUACAUGCAAGUCGAACGGAAUUUAAAAGAGCUUGCUCUUUUAAAUUUAGUGGCGCACGGGUGAGUAAUAUAUAGCUAAUCUGCCCCUUGCUGGAGGACAACAGUUAGAAAUGACUGCUAAUACUCCAUACUCCUUUUUACCAUAAGAUAAAUCGGGAAAGAAUUUCGGCAAGGGAUGAGACUAUAUCGUAUCAGCUAGUCGGUGGGGUAACGGCCUACCGAGGCUAUGACGCGUAACUGGUCUGAGAGGAUGAUCAGUCACAUUGGAACUGAGACACGGUCCAAACUCCUACGGGAGGCAGCAGUAGGGAAUAUUGCGCAAUGGGGGAAACCCUGACGCAGCAACGCCGCGUGGAGGAUGACACUUUUCGGAGCGUAAACUCCUUUUGUCAGGGAAGAA